rnacentral:rRNA from 1 species
GGGUUGUGAGGUUAAGCGACUAAGCGUACACGGUGGAUGCCCUGGCAGUCAGAGGCGAUGAAGGACGUGCUAAUCUGCGAAAAGCGUCGGUAAGGUGAUAUGAACCGUUACAGCCGGCGAUGUCCGAAUGGGGAAACCCAGUGCAAUUCGUUGCACUAUCGUUAACUGAAUACAUAGGUUAACGAGGCGAACCGGGGGAACUGAAACAUCUAAGUACCCCGAGGAAAAGAAAUCAACCGAGAUUCCCCCAGUAGCGGCGAGCGAACGGGGAGCAGCCCAGAGUCUGAAUCAGCUUGUGUGUUAGUGGAACGGUCUGGAAAGUCCGACGGUACAGGGUGAUAGUCCCGUACACCAAAAUGCACAGGCUGUGAACUCGAAGAGUAGGGCGGGACACGUGGUAUCCUGUCUGAAUAUGGGGGGACCAUCCUCCAAGGCUAAAUACUCCUGACUGACCGAUAGUGAACCAGUACCGUGAGGGAAAGGCGAAAAGAACCCCGGCGAGGGGAGUGAAAAAGAACCUGAAACCGUGUACGUACAAGCAGUGGGAGCACCUUCGGGUGUGACUGCGUACCUUUUGUAUAAUGGGUCAGCGACUUAUAUUCUGUAGCAAGGUUAACCGUAUAGGGGAGCCGCAGGGAAACCGAGUCUUAACUGGGCGUUAAGUUGCAGGGUAUAGACCCGAAACCCGGUGAUCUAGCCAUGGGCAGGUUGAAGGUUGGGUAACACUAACUGGAGGACCGAACCGACUAAUGUUGAAAAAUUAGCGGAUGACUUGUGGCUGG